rnacentral:rRNA from 1 species
CGUUCUCAGUUCGGAUCGGAGUCUGCAACCCGACUCCGUGAAGCUGGAUUCGCUAGUAAUCGCGCAUCAGCCAUGGCGCGGUGAAUACGUUCCCGGGCCUUGUACACACCGCCCGUCAAGCCAUGGAAGCCGGGAGUGCCUGAAGUGCGUGAGCGCAAGGAGCGUCCUAAGGUAAAACCGGUGACUGGGGCUAAGUCGUAACAAGGUAUC